rnacentral:rRNA from 1 species
GGAUCUUGCACAAUGGGGGCAACCCUGAUGCAGCGACGCCGCGUGGGUGAGGAAGGCCUUCGGGUCGUAAAGCCCUUUUCUGCGUGACGAGGAAGGACGGUAGCGCAGGAAGAAGCGUCGGCUAACUACGUGCCAGCAGCCGCGGUAAAACGUAGGACGCGAGCGUUAUCCGGAGUUACUGGGCGUAAAGGGCGUGCAGGCGGGAGCGCAAGUCACGCGUGAAAGUCUUCGGCUCAACCGGGGGAAGACGGGUGAUACUGCGAUUCUAGAGGGCGCUAGAGGGACACGGAAUUCCGGGUGUAGUGGUGAAAUGCGUAGAGAUCCGGAGGAACACCAGUGGCGCAGGCGGUGUUCUGGGGCGCACCUGACGCUGAGACGCGAAAGCAUGGGGAGCGAACGGG